GAGGGUAUAGUUCAGUGGUAGAAUGCCUGCUUAUUGUGCAAAAGGUCCUGGGUUCAAUUCCCAGUACUUCCA
rnacentral:tRNA from 1 species